rnacentral:misc_RNA from 1 species
ACCAUUGGUACUGCACUCUUUGGACUACUUUAAAAGAUGACAAAACUAAGCUAUAUAGCUUUGGCAUUUGCCUGUGUUUUGUCAUCAGGAAUCUGCAAGGUCUUGCCGGGUUUGCAAUAUGACUCGGAAUUCUUCAACAAGCUUCCACUGGAAACCGACUUGCAAAGAGAGGAAUCGUUUUCAAUGCCACUGAACAACCAUAACCAGUUCCUGACUGAUUUGCAACGAAAAUCAAGAGCAAUUAUACGAUCCUCACGUUAUGCCGACAACUUAGAUCACUUAAAAAGAACACAGAUGUUGGAACUCCUCGAGAAGUUAUUAAAUGGAUGACAAUGAUCUCAAGGGAAACGCAAAAGAUGGAUCGUAUGAAAAUUAUAGACUGCUGUUGCAAUGUAUAAAUUUUAAUCUACUUACAAAUACAUUAUACGGCCAUUUAUUGGUCGUGUUUACAAUUUACAAAAAAAAAAUAGAAUUGAAUUCCCAAGCAUAACAGUGUUGUGCAUUGCGCAUGUGAUUUUUUGAAUGUUCACUUACAAGGCAAUGAAGUGUCCGCAGUUGUCACAAAAUAUUGAUACUUUUGAGUUCAAUUUACUCAAACUCUAAUUGUUAAUUUAAAAAAAUUUAAAAAAAAUGACUGGUAGUUAUAUUAAGCAAUUUAGUCUAUCAGACAUUUGUUUGAUUUUCCAGCAAUAAGUAUCCUCAUAAGUUUUCUGGUAUACCAAAUUAAACACUUCAGUUCUAUUAUACAGUCUUGAGAAUUAAUAUUGUUUUUAAAAAAAAUUAUUUUUUACAUGUAAUAGAAACUGUUCUUUUGAAUGAGUGUAUGCCUGUUGAUUGUUUAUUUUUAAUAAAUAUAUAGAACCAUUUC